CACGUAGGGUGCGAGCGUUGUCCGGAAUUAUUGGGCGUAAAGAGCUCGUAGGCGGUCUGUCGCGUCUGCUGUGAAAACUCAGGGCUUAACCCUGAGCUUGCAGUGGGUACGGGCAGACUAGAGUGCGGUAGGGGAGACUGGAAUUCCUGGUGUAGCGGUGAAAUGCGCAGAUAUCUGGAGGAACACCGGUGGCGAAGGCGGCAUCCUGGACCGGCAUUGACGCUGAGGGCGCGAAAGCCAGGGGAGCAAACGGG
rnacentral:rRNA from 1 species